AUCCUUGAACAGAAAUCAGUGGAAGAGACGAGAGAGCAAACCACAGUAAAUUAGUGGCAUGUGGGAAGUUUACCAAAACUAUAAAAUAAAAUAAAAACGUGCUGGGCUGUAAACUCUGUAACAUUCUUACACCACACAUCGCUGAGCAAAGAGGAAAUUGACAACGCGAAUGCAGAGGAUAAAGCCGGUUCUGGGAGGUUCAAGUCUUUUGGCUGCGUCUCUGUGUGCCGCAUUAGAGAGAAGGAGCCGUUGUCUUGACAGCCCGUCACUGUGGCGACCGAGCACAUUCCAGAGUCCUUCGACUUGAACAUUUGCUCAUCUUGAACUGGAAUCUCACUUAAGAUGCCAGAAAAGCCCAAGAAGUUCAUUUCAUGGCCUGCCGUCAAAUCCCUUCUCAGAAAAUCAGCUGAACUGAAUCCUCCAAUGCAAUGCAUUUAAAGAGUGGCAACAUUUCCCCCCACACCUCCUCCAGGCAAAGGCACACAUGUAAAUUUAUACAUGUAUCAUUUCCCAGAAUGCACCAGGAGGCUUAUGGACAACAGCCCAGGUACGUGAGGGUACACGGAUCAUUCUUAUUGAUGUCAUUAAAUUACCUGAGCAGAUGCUUCAGCUCUCCCUGUCUGUGUAAUUUACUGGUCUUAUACUGGUGCAUAUACGUCUCUAUGGUAAUAUACGCUCACAUACCCGGGGCACGUUCUGUCGGCAGCAUCCCUAGUCAUGCAGGACGAGUGGAAAAGGGUAGCUGGCAUCCGGGUAGAGUGUUGAUGCUGAAACAUUGCAUGAAAAAUGACGGGGCUGUGGGUGGAAAGACCUCCGCAUACGCUCACACAGUCACAUUUACACAUGCUUGUGAAUGCACUCCAUGCAUUAAAUGCAGAUCCUUCAGGAGGAGUGAUGGAGACCUUGAGGGGUUGUUUGGGCAUGAAGUAGAUUAAGUGCACAUAGCAUCCUGCUGUAAACCACCUCACACUGCGGUGACACCACACUUUACAGUGAGGGAUAAAGCUCUGAUCAGCAGUCUGUGUGUAUGUGUGUGUACCUUGUAUUCCUUAAAUUGUGUGGACCAAAUUAAAUUGUGUUUAUUUGAGAACAGUGUACUGGUAAACUUGAAUUUGAAAACUUUUUACUUGCAUGGUCAGUAAAGUUUUGAGUUUAUUACAAUAUUUGGUGAAAUCAAGAUUAUAUCCAAAGAUAAUCAAAAUGACAGGAUAUUGGUUUUGACAUUAUUCUUUAUUCAUUAUUCUUGACAUUAUUCAAGGAAUAACAGCUUCAUAUGCAAAGCUAAUCAAAGAUAUACACUCACCGGCCACUUUAUUAGGAACACCUGUUUAACAGCUCAUUAACGCAAAUUUCUAAUCAGCCAAUCACAUGGCAGCAACGCAAUGCAUUUAGGUAAGUAGACAUGUUCAAGACGAUCUGCUGCAGUUCAAACCAAGCAUCAAAAUGGGGAAGAAAGGUGUUUUAAUUAACUUUGAACGUGGCAUUGAUGUUGGUGCCAGACCAAGUAUUGAGUAUUUUAGAAACUGCUGAUCUACUGGGAUUUUAACAAACAACCAUCUCUAGGGUUUACAGAGAAAGGUCCAAAAAAGAGAAAAUAAGACUACGUCGGGUUGCUCUCCUGUCAGCUAAGAAUAGGAAAAUGAGGCUACAAUUUGUACAGGCUCACCAAAAUUUAAUAAUAGAGGAUUGGAAAAACGUUGCUCUGAUGAGUCUUAGUUUCUGCUGUGACAUUAAGAUGGUAGGGUCAGAACAAUAUAAAAGCAUAGAUACAUAUUUUCUUAGCACACUUUAUGUUCAUUUGUACCAAUUGUGCAUCAUGUCUACACCACAGACAACCUGAGUUGUUGCCGACUAUGUCCAUCCUUGUGUAUCCAUCUUUUGAUGGCUCCUUUCAGAAGGAUAUCGCACCAUGUCAUUAAGCGAGAAUCAUCUCAAACUGGUUUCUUGAACAUGACAAUGAGUUCACUGUACUUAAAUGGCCUCCACAGUCACCAGAUUUCAAUUUAAUAGAGCACAUUUGAGAUGUAGUGGAAUGGGAGAUUCGCAUUAGAGAUCUGCGCAGGAAUUAAUUUUUAAUCCUGCUCCCGCCUGCUAUCAACAAGUUUUAUUUCACACUCGACUGCUCCCGCCGUAUUCAGUCUUUGUGCACCCACUGCCCGACCCGCCUCAUUUUCCCGCUAAAUUAAGAUCUGGUUUCCAAAAUCUAAUUAAAAUAGAGCACUACCAAAAGAGAGAGAUAACAAAUAAAAGUGUAGGUUGUUCAAAGAUUGUAGGCUAAAUGUCAGUUUUAUUUGUACCUUUGUGAUGAGACAUAAGUGCUGUGUGACCUGCAGUGAGGUGUGUGGCUGGUAAGGAACUGACUCUUUUAAAGUCAGACUUACAGACGUAUCCAUCCACUCAAUAUAUUUGCCAACAAUUGAUUGUGUUUCAUAACUCAUAUUAGCAUUAUUUCUAUACACAUAGCAGGUACAUAUUGGGCCAAGGAAGAAUGUAAAAUGUAUAGCGAUUAAACAUGCCUCCCAAAAAACACUCAGCUGGAUGCUACAGAGUCCAGACAGCCUAAAACAAGCGACUCACAGCACCACACAGCAUCUCGGAAGCGGUAUAUUGUUUGAUCGCCCGCUCCUGUUCAAAUUACAACAAAGUUACCUAUCAAAACCAUUUUUUUUUUUUUUUUUUUUUUAAAUUCUGAAUGCAGACCUUUAAUUCGCAUCAUGGACGUGCAGCCGACAAUUCUGCAGCAACUGCUUGAUGCUAUCAUGUCAAUAUGAAGCAAAAUCUCUGAGGAAUAUUUCCAGUACAUUGUUGAAUUUAUACCAUUGAGGAUUAAGGCAGUUCUGAAGGCAAAAGUGAGUCUGACCAAUACCAAUGUGUUCAUACAAUACAGUAUUUAAUUAAAUAAAUCCAAACGUUCAACACUAAGUGAAGUUUAUUCAUAAACUAAUUUCGAGAGGAUCACGUGCUUAUGAUUUAUCACGUCCAGUCUCGUAUUUGCUAAUCACUAAUCUUCCAAUCAUAUGAGCCCUAAGGCACCAUAAAUAGCCUCAGUUUUCAGUUCACUUUAUCUUCGUUUGGAAGAAACCCCCCUCCUCCCCUAUUCUCCUCCUUUACCUGCGAUUGGGCGGCACGGCGGUCCAGUGGUUAGCACUGUGAACCACACAGCAAGAAUACUGCCGGUCCUAGUUCUAUAGGACCGGUGAGUGUUUCUGUGGGGAGUUUGUAUGUCCUUCCCGUGUCCGCGUGGGUUUUCCCCGGGUUCUCCGGUUUCCUCCCACCAUCCAAAGACAUUCAACAUACAUAACAAUCAAGCUUGUCUAAUUCCUUACGUUCCCUUAGCUACAGCAGCAGGGGAGUUCUGAGAUCCACCGAGCUCGGGCUCCCUUCUUGCUCUGCCAACGGGAGGAAGCCCCGGGCUCGAGGAGCCCUUGAGCUCGGGGCUCUCUCCAGGGACAGCAUGCCAAAUAAGCUUUGUAAAUCAUCAGCUAAGUGUGAACUCUUGAAAUGGUUGAUACGGGCAAAUCGUGCUGAUAGGGACAAAAGUAUAUCACUUGAGCGUCAAGAAGUAGAAGAAUAAAAGCAAGCAUGCAAAAUCUCAAUGCCACGUUUGUUGGACAUAUUUUACAUUCUUCUGGAAGCCAAAUUAGGUAUACAGUAUUUGUCACCCCAUAUUAAAGCAUGACAGGAAAAAGUAGGUUGACAACUUAAAAAAAAAAAAAAAAAAAGACACACAUCAUUGUUAGGAAUAUCAUUGUCCCCUCAAGCAUCUGUCUUAAGCGUUGCAUUUAGCUUGUGAGAAAAUUCAUUCUGUUAUCAUUCCCUCUUCCUCCAUCUCUCUCUGUCUUAUCUGGUUUCUCUCGCUCUCCUCUUCAGGCAUCUGUCUGUUUUGUCCUACUCCACCUUUCUCUCUCUCUGUCUCUCUCUCUCUCUCUCUCUCUCGCUCUAUCUCUCUCUCGCUCUCUCUCGCUCUCGCUCUCUCUCUCCCUCUCUCUCUCUCUCUCUCUCUCUCUCUCUCUCUCCAGGACAGCUUUUUGUAGGUUUAAACAGGACAUAAGCGAUAAGGAUGCUGCUCUGACAGAGACUGAUGUUCGACAUACUGCACUCUGAUUGGACUCUGGAAACCAGGACCAGGACAGAACAUUCACUCUCUCACACACAGACACACACACAUACUUUGACUUGACAACUGAAUGCUGUGGUGGAAGAUGUUCUUGUGGGAUGGACAGACUCAUUUGUUGCUGAAAGUACCUGUCUUAGUAAAGACUUUGGGCCUUAUGUAUUUAUGUUUAUUCAUAAAUUCAUGUUGUUUUUAGUUUAGCCUUAACAGGAAUUGAGCUUUUUCACAGUUUGUCCUCUAAAACAUGACUAGAAAAGUGGGAUAUCAACAAUUAUGCAGCUUUUGAAGGGAAAAUGUCACAUGAGUGAUAUUUUUGCAAUAAAGCAGCUUCUGAGAAACAGCACCAUUAGUGUGUGUGUGUGUGUGUGUGUGUGUGUGUGUGUUUGUGUGUGUGUGUUUGUGUGUGUGGUUGUUAUUGAAACAUCACUCACAACUUACAGAAAGAGCCUCAUAUUUAUUAAGUUUAUAUACAGAAUGAAUAAAAUUUUGACUUAGAGAUGAUAAUUAUGUCAAAUAUUAAUAACACUGCUAUGUCCAACAUCUACAAAGUGUCAUACAAAGUAUGAAAACUAGUUUCUUCCUCUUCUUCUUCAUAAUACACUUAUUUCUGGUAAUCUUUCUGUCUGUACCAUCAUGUGUGAGGUUGCUAAUUAGCAGGUUAAAAUAAUUAAUUAAUAUUGGUGUGUUGUUUUUUUUUUUUUAGUUGGUUGAGUUUCUGUGGCGGCCAUGGUUAUUUUAAGCAGAUAUGCAUCAUGGAUGUCUAGUCUUGCGUAAUGGAUGCAUCUGUUCUGCUUCACAAAACCAGAUGAAAGCAUAAAAACGAAUAACAGGCUACUUAUUGCUAGAAAAUCAAUGGAGAAGAGUGAUGUUUGGGUCAAUGUAAUAUUUUUUGUUUAUUUAAAAUGUAUUAUAUAGUAGAGUAGUUUAAUUAUAUGAAUUGUUAUUGUAAUUACUUCGCUUAGCUGUUUUGUGUAAUAUUUCAGUGUACAAUACCAGCACAUGUAAAAUAAUGAAUAAUGUAAAGCCUUUAUUCUCACUUUUGAUACAUUUAAUGCAUUCUUAUCGAAAGAGUGAGAAGAAAAAUAAUAAGAAUUAAAUAUUUAUUUAUUUAUUUAUUUGUUUAUUUAUUUUUCAAUACACCAGUGGCAAAAAAAAAGCCUUUAUCAGAGCAUUUGCAAAGUUUUUUGACAGCAUAGUUUCAGUUUUGGCUUAAUGUGCUUUCACACUAGCACUUUUGGUCCACACCCGGAUUGUUUGACGUCAGAGUAUGGUACGUUUAAGUUUGAACAUGUCUUCUGAACUCAAGUGCGCACCCACGAACCCUGCCCGAGUCUACCUGAAAGAGGUGGUCUGGAGUACGCUUUACACAAACUCUGGUCCAGUUUACUUCUGGUAUGAAUGCAAUCGUACCAAAUAAUGCAAGUGAACCACCAACUGUACAAGCUAUCAUUUUCAUAACGUUUAUUUGUGUGUGUGUGUAUCACGUACUGUACCUUGCUGACAAGUGGUACUGAGCCAGGGCAAGCACAGUGAUAAUGUCUGCUUGUCUUCUCCAAAAACAGCUUCUGCAGACAUCGGCAUAUGUUUUGAAUGUUUAUAAUAUAUUUAAUAAUUAUUGAAAUAAUUCUUUACAUUUAUAUAGCGAUUUUCUGGACACAUUUUUGAUCACCACAGAAAGUCAAGAACUCGGUUUAACGUCUCAUCCGAAAGACAGCGCUCACUGAGCAGUAUAGAGUCCCCAUCAAUAUACUGGGGCAUUAGGACCCACACAGAUCACAGGUUGAGUGCCCC
ensembl:lincRNA